rnacentral:rRNA from 1 species
AGAGUUUGAUCCUGGCUCAGGACGAACGCUGGCGGCGUGCUUAACACAUGCAAGUCGAGCGAUGAAACACCUUCGGGUGUGAAUUAGCGGCGAACGGGUGAGGAACACGUGAGAAAUCUGCCUUCAACACUGGGAUAACUCCGGGAAACCGGGGCUAAUACCGGAUAUGAAAUCUGCGGGCAUCCGCGGAUUUGGAAAGUUUUUCGGUUGAAGAUGAUCUCGCGGCCUAUCAGCUUGUUGGUGAGGUAAUGGCUCACCAAGGCGACGACGGGUAGCCGGCCUGAGAGGGCGACCGGCCACACUGGGACUGAGACACGGCCCAGACUCCUACGGGAGGCAGCAGUGGGGAAUAUUGGGCAAUGGAGGAAACUCUGACCCAGCGACGCCGCGUGCGGGAUGAAGGCCUUCGGGUUGUAAACCGCUUUCAGCAGGGAAGAAGCGAAAGUGACGGUACCUGCAGAAGAAGCACCGGCUAACUAUGUGCCAGCAGCCGCGGUAAUACAUAGGGUGCAAGCGUUGUCCGGAAUUAUUGGGCGUAAAGAGCUCGUAGGUGGUUCGUCACGUCGGAUGUGAAACUCUGGGGCUUAACCCCAGACCUGCAUUCGAUACGGGCGAGCUUGAGUAUGGUAGGGGAGUCUGGAAUUCCUGGUGUAGCGGUGGAAUGCGCAGAUAUCAGGAGGAACACCAAUGGCGAAGGCAGGACUCUGGGCCAUUACUGACACUGAGGAGCGAAAGCGUGGGGAGCGAACAGGAUUAGAUACCCUGGUAGUCCACGCCGUAAACGGUGGGCACUAGUUGUGGGGACCUUCCACGGUCUCUGCGACGCAGCUAACGCAUUAAGUGCCCCGCCUGGGGAGUACGAUCGCAAGAUUAAAACUCAAGGAAUUGACGGGGCCCCGCACAAGCAGCGGAGCAUGC